AAAUUAUCAAUAUCCUCUUAUUGUUUACAUGUCAGUCUCUUCUCUGAGCCAUUGCCAGCAUAUCAGAAAAUCAGAUGCUCCAGAUAAAUAAUGCAGUGAUGAUUUUUUCAGAGCAGUUCAUAUUCCCGGUAAAGCAGAUUGAUAGGGUGAUGUCAUUUUUUUUUUCAGAUUGGAGUAAGACAGCUACCAAUAUCAUCAAGAAAAGUUCUGAUAAUCUAGGAAAAUCUUUGUCUUCAAGCUCCAUUGGUUCCAACUCAACCUAUCUUACAUCCAAAUCUAAAUCCAGCUCUACCACCUAUUUCAAAAGGAAUAGCCACACAGACAAUGCUUCCAUGGACAAGUCCUUGUCAAAACUGGCCCAUGCUGAUGGAGAUCAAACAUCAAUCAUCCCUGUCCAUCAGGUCAUUGAUAAGGUCAAGGGUUAUUGCAAUGCUCAUUCAGACAACUUCUAUAAAAACAUUAUCAUGUCAGACACCUUCAGCCACAGCACAAAGUUUUAAUGUCUUUAAGAAAAAGAAAUCAAUCUGCAGAAAUGUGAAGAUUUGCAAGCAGUGUAAACUGCAACUAGUGAUGUAAAUGUGCUAUUACCUAGGUAACUGCAUAUAUAUAAGGAAUGUAUUUUGUUAAGAAGGCUUUUGUGAAAUUCAGAAUUUUUCUUUUUAAUGUAUUUCUUCCAUGGAAGAGUUGUCAUCACUAAAACUUCAGUACUGAGAGU
rnacentral:sRNA from 1 species